rnacentral:rRNA from 1 species
CGGAGGAUCCGAGCGUUAUCCGGAUUUAUUGGGUUAAAGGGUGCGUAGGCGGCCUGUUAAGUCAGGGGUGAAAGACGGUAGCUCAACUAUCGCAGUGCCCUUGAUACUGAUGGGCUUGAAUGUACUAGAGGUAGGCGGAAUGUGACAAGUAGCGGUGAAAUGCAUAGAUAUGUCACAGAACACCAAUUGCGAAGGCAGCUUACUAUGGUAUUAUUGACGCUGAGGCACGAAAGCGUGGGGAUCAAACAGGAUUAGAUACCCUGGUAGUCCACGCCCUAAACGAUGAAUACUCGAUGUUAGCGAUAUACAGUUAGCGUCAAAGCGAAAGCGUUAAGUAUUCCACCUGGGGAGUACGCCCGCAAGGGUG